AGUGAACGCUGGCGGUAGGCCUAACACAUGCAAGUCGAACGGCAGCACAGUAAGAGCUUGCUCUUACGGGUGGCGAGUGGCGGACGGGUGAGGAAUACAUCGGAAUCUACUUUUUCGUGGGGAUAACGUAGGGAAACUUACGCUAAUACCGCAUACGACCUACGGGUGAAAGCAGGGGAUCUUCGGACCUUGCGCGAUUGAAUGAGCCGAUGUCGGAUUAGCUAGUUGGCGGGGUAAAGGCCCACCAAGGCGACGAUCCGUAGCUGGUCUGAGAGGAUGAUCCGCCACACUGGAACUGAGACACGGUCCAGACUCCUACGGGAGGCAGCAGUGGGGAAUAUUGGACAAUGGGCGCAAGCCUGAUCCAGCCAUACCGCGUGGGUGAAGAAGGCCUUCGGGUUGUAAAGCCCUUUUGUUGGGAAAGAAAAGCAGCAGGUUAAUACCCCGAUGUUCUGACGGUACCCAAAGAAUAAGCACCGGCUAACUUCGUG
rnacentral:rRNA from 1 species